GGGGCUGACCGAAAGGUCUUGGUCCACCGAAACGGCGUGGGGAUCCCGC
rnacentral:sRNA from 18 species